rnacentral:rRNA from 1 species
GACGAACGCUGGCGGCGUGCUUAACACAUGCAAGUCACGGGGGCCCGCAAGGGUAACCGGCGAACGGGUGCGUAACACGUGAGCAAUCUGCCUAGAUGUGGGGGAUAGCCGGCCCAACGGCCGGGUAAUACCGCAUACGCUCGUUGAGUGGCAUCACUUGACGAGGAAACCUCCGGGGCAUCUAGAGGAGCUCGCGGCCUAUCAGCUAGUUGGUGGGGUACCGGCCUACCAAGGCAAUGACGGGUGGCUGGUCUGAGGGGAUGGCCAGCCACAUUGGGACUGGGAUACGGCCCAGACUCCUACGGGAGGCAGCAGUGGGGAAUAUUGCGAAAUGGCCGAAAGGCUGACGCAGCGACGCCGCGUGGGGGAUGAAGCAUUUCGGUGUGUAAACCCCUGUUGCUCGGGACGAACAAGCGAUUUCGAUCGCUCUGACGGUACCGGGUGAGGAAGCACCGGCUAACUCCGUGCCAGCCGCCGCCGUAAUAC